rnacentral:rRNA from 1 species
ACGGGUGCGUAAUAUGUGUGAAACCGACCUUUUUAGGGGGAAAAGCGCUUGAAAAAGAAGAUAAAUACCCCAAAGUAUAUUUCAUGGCUUCAUUAGGCUUUGAACACUCCCGUGGAUAGUUGUGGGCACGCUCAACAACAUAUCGCUGGUGAUGUAACGGCUCACAACCUCCAUGAUCUUGCUGGGGCCAGAGGAGGUGCUCCCCCACGGUGGUUCUGAGCCGGGAUCAACCUCUCUAGGAGGCGGCAGUGGGGAAUUUUGGACAAUGGGGGCAACCCUGAUCCAGCCCUGCCGCGUGCGGGAAGAAAGCCUUCGGGUUGUAAACCGCUUUUGUCAGGGAAGAAAAGACUCCUACUAAUACGGGGGGUUCAUGACGGUACCUGAAGAAUAACCACCGGCUAACUACCUGCCAGCAGCCGCGGUAAUACGUAUGGUGCAAGCGUUAAUCGGAAUUACUGGGCGUAAAGCGUGCGCAGGCCGUUAUGCAAGACAGAUGUGAAAUCCCCGGGCUCAACCUGGGAACUGCAUUUGUGACUGCAUGGCAGAGUACGGUAGAGGGGGAUGGAAUUCCGCGUGUA